GAUGAACGCUGGCGGCGUGCCUAAUACAUGCAAGUCGAGCGAAGCGGGGACGGGUGAGUAACACGUGGAUAACCUCCUAUAAGACUGGGAUAACUUCGGGAAACCGGAGCUAAACCGGAUACUUAUCGAUGGAUCCGCGCUGCAUUAGCUAGUUGGUAAGUUAACGGCUUACCAAGGCAACGAUGGAUAGCGGACCUGAGAGGGUGAUGGGCAACACUGGAACUGGGACAGGGUCCAGACUCCUAGGGGAGGAAGCAGUAGGGAAUCUUCCGCAAUGGGCGAAAGCCGGAGGGGGCAACGCCGCGUGGGGGAUGAGGGUCUUGGGAUCGUAAAACUCUGUUAUUAGGGAAGCGGUACCUAAACAGAAAGCCACGGCUAACUACGUGCCAGCAGCCGCGGUAAUAC
rnacentral:rRNA from 1 species